UGGGGGAUCGUCUAGCGGCAGGACGCGAGGCUCUGGACCUCGAAGCCGGGGUUCGAAUCCUCGUCCCCCAGCCA
rnacentral:tRNA from 1 species